GUGCCAGCAGCCGCGGUAAUACGUAGGGUGCGAGCGUUAAUCGGAAUUACUGGGCGUAAAGCGUGCGCAGGCGGUUUUGUAAGCCAGAUGUGAAAUCCCCGAGCUUAACUUGGGAACUGCAUUUGGGACUGCAAGGCUAGAGUACGGCAGAGGGGGGUAGAAUUCCUGGUGUAGCAGUGAAAUGCGUAGAUAUCAGGAGGAAUACCGAUGGCGAAGGCAGCCCCCUGGGUCGAUACUGACGCUCAUGCACGAAAGCGUGGGGAGCAAACAGGAUUAGAUACCCUGGUAGUCC
rnacentral:rRNA from 1 species